rnacentral:lncRNA from 1 species
GUGGCAGCAAUUAUAUCCAUUCGCAGUCUCCAUGUGUUGUGCGUAUGUCAGUCUUUUGUCGAUGCACGUCUCCUGUAAUUAAUGCGUCGAUGGGAGGCGGCUUUUGGAGGUUCCAUUGAGGUCUGAGGUUAUUUAAAAUCUUCAAACAUAAUGGAACACAGACCUUACAAAAUUCUAGUUUUCUCCUUUCACUGUGCAUUCUUCUCUUCUUCACCCUUUCGUGAUUUUCCUGCACGAGAGGGAGAGAUAGCCACCAUGGAGCCUGACUUUGCAUCGCUGGACUUCAGAUCAGAGUUGAUGGAGCGAGACAUAAUCGUGCUGCAC